GUGAGUCAUCGAAUCUUUGAACGCACAUUGCGCCCUUUGGUAUUCCUUAGGGCAUGCCUGUUCGAGCGUCAUUAACACCCUCAAGCCUCGCUUGGUGUUGGGCGUCUGUCCGCGCCUCUCCCUGGCGCGGACUCGCCUCAAAGUCAUUGGCGGCCGGUACGUAGGCUUCGAGCGCAGCAGAAACGCGCCUCGAGCGCCCGCGAGCCGGCGACCACAAGGCUCCUCAGACCACAUCUUGACCUCGGAUCAGGUAGGGAUACCCGCUGAACUUAAGCAUAUCAAUAAGCGGAGGA
rnacentral:misc_RNA from 1 species